rnacentral:rRNA from 1 species
AACGAACGCUGGCGGCAUGCCUAACACAUGCAAGUCGAACGAAACCUUCGGGUCUAGUGGCGCACGUGUGCGUAACGCGGGGUAACCUGCCCUUGGGUUCGGAAUACCUCCCCGAAAGGGGUGCUAAUACCGGAUAAUGUCUUCCGACCAAAGAUUUAUCGCCUUUGGAUGGGCCCGCGUUAGAUUCGCUAGUUGGUAGGGUAAAAGCCUACCAAGGCGACGAUCCAUAGCUGGUCUGAGAGGAUGCUCCGCCACACUGGGACUGAGACACGGCCCAGACUCCUACGGGAGGGAGCAGUGGGGAAUAUUGGACGAUGGGCGAAAGUCUGAUCCAGCAAUGCCGCGUGAGUGAUGAAGGCCUUAGGGUUGUAAAGCUCUUUUACCCGGGAUGAUAAUGACAGUACCGGGAGAAUAAGCUCCGGCUAACUACGUG